CAGUCGCCGCGGUAAAACGGAGGGUGCAAGCGUUAAUCGGAAUUACUGGGCGUAAAGCGCACGCAGGCGGUCUGACAAGUCAGAUGUGAAAUCCCCGGGCUUAACCUGGGAACUGCAUUUGAAACUGUCAGGCUGGAGUCUUGUAGAGGGGGGUGGAAUUCCAGGUGUAGCGGUGAAAUGCGUAGAGAUCUGGAGGAAUACCGAUGGCGAAGGCAGCCAUCUGGCCUAAUACUGACGCUGAGGUACGAAAGCAUGGGGAGCAAACAGGAUUAGAUACCCGAGUAGUCCCUGUCUCUUAUAC
rnacentral:rRNA from 1 species